rnacentral:rRNA from 1 species
UGACGGUACUUGACUAAGAAGCUCCGGCUAAAUACGUGCCAGCAGCCGCGGUAAUACGUAUGGAGCAAGCGUUAUCCGGAUUUACUGGGUGUAAAGGGAGCGUAGGCGGAAGGCUAAGUCUGAUGUGAAAACCCAGGGCUCAACCUUGGGACUGCAUUGGAAACUGGUUUUCUAGAGUGUCGGAGGGGUAAGUGGAAUUCCUAGUGUAGUGGUGAAAUGCGUAGAUAUUAGGAGGAACACCAGUGGCGAAGGCGGCUUACUGGACGACAACUGACGCUGAGGCUCGAAAGCGUGGGGAGCAAACAGGAUUAGAUACCCUG